AGCGAACGCUAGCGGCGAGCUUAACACAUGCAAGUCGAGCGGAGGGUUUCGGCCCUCAGCGGCGGACGGGUGAGUAACACGUAGGUUACGUGCCCUUUGGUGGGGAAUAACUUAGGGAAACCUGAGCUAAUACCGCAUAUGCCCUUCGGGUGAAGUCUUCGGACGCCAGAGGAUCGGCCUGCGGCCCAUUAUUUAAUCCUUGUUGGUGGGGUAACGGCCUACCAAGGGUACGAUGGGUAGCUGGUCUGAGAGGAUGAUCAGCCACACUGGGACUGAGACACGGCCCAGACUCCUACGGGAGGCAGCAGUGGGGAA
rnacentral:rRNA from 1 species